rnacentral:rRNA from 1 species
ACACAUGCAGUCGAGCGGUAACAGAUCUCAGCUUGCUAGGAUGCUGACGAGCGGCGGACGGGUGAGUAAUGCAUAGGAAUCUGCCCGAUAGUGGGGGAUAACCUGGGGAAACCCAGGCUAAUACCGCAUACGUCCUACGGGAGAAAGGGGGCUCCGGCUCCCGCUAUGGGAUGAGCCUAUGUCGGAUUAGCUAGUUGGUGAGGUAACGGCUCACCAAGGCCACGAUCCGUAGCUGGUCUGAGAGGAUGAUCAGCCACAUCGGGACUGAGACACGGCCCGAACUCCUACGGGAGGCAGCAGUGGGGAAUAUUGGACAAUGGGGGAAACCCUGAUCCAGCCAUGCCGCGUGUGUGAAGAAGGCCCUCGGGUUGUAAAGCACUUUCAGCGAGGAAGAACGCCUAACGGUUAAUACCCGCUAGGAAAGACAUCACUCGCAGAAGAAGCACCGGCUAACUCCGUGCCAGCAGCCGCGGUAAUACGGAGGGUGCAAGCGUUAAUCGGAAUUACUGGGCGUAAAGCGCGCGUAGGUGGCUUGAUAAGCCGGUUGUGAAAGCCCCGGGCUCAACCUGGGAACGGCAUCCGGAACUGUCAAGCUAGAGUGCAGGAGAGGAAGGUAGAAUUCCCGGUGUAGCGGUGAAAUGCGUAGAGAUCGGGAGGAAUACCAGUGGCGAAAGCGGCCUUCUGGACUGACACUGACACUGAGUGCGAAAGCGUGGGUAGCAAACAGGAUUAGAUACCCUGGUAGUCCACGCCGUAACGAUGUCGACCAGCCGUUGGUGCCUAGCGCACUUUGUGGCGAA